AAAGUCACGGCUAACUACGUGCCAGCAGCCGCGGUAAUACGUAGGUGGCAAGCGUUGUCCGGAUUUAUUGGGCGUAAAGCGAGCGCAGGCGGAAGAAUAAGUCUGAUGUGAAAGCCCUCGGCUUAACCGAGGAACUGCAUCGGAAACUGUUUUUCUUGAGUGCAGAAGAGGAGAGUGGAACUCCAUGUGUAGCGGUGGAAUGCGUAGAUAUAUGGAAGAACACCAGUGGCGAAGGCGGCUCUCUGGUCUGCAACUGACGCUGAGGCUCGAAAGCAUGGGUAGCGAACAGGAUUAGAUACCCUGGUAGUCCAUGCCGUAAACGAUGAGUGCUAAGUGUUUGGGAGGUUUCCGCCUCUCAGUGCUGCAGCUAACGCAUUAAGCACUCCGCCUGGGGAGUACGACCGCAAGGUUGAAACUCAAAGGAAUUGACGGGGGCCCGCACAAGCGGUGGAGGCAUGGUGGUUUAAUUCGAAGCAACGCGAAGAACCCUUACCAGGUCUUGACAUCUAGUGCCAUUUGUAGAGAUACAAAGUUCCCCUUCGGGGACGCUAAGACAGGUGGGUGCAUGGCUGUCGUCAGCUCGUGUCCUGAGA
rnacentral:rRNA from 1 species